rnacentral:rRNA from 1 species
AUACGGUGGAUGCCUUGGCAGUUAGAGGCGAUGAAGGACGUGUAAGUCUGCGAAAAGCGUUGGUGAGCUGACAAAAAGCGUUAUAACCAACGAUGUCCGAAUGGGGAAACCCGGCACUUCGGUGUCAUCUGCAACUGAAUACAUAGGUUGCAGAAGCGAACGAGGGGAACUGAAACAUCUAAGUACCCUUAGGAAGAGAAAUCAAUUGAGAUUGCCUUAGUAGCGGCGAGCGAACGGGUAACAGCCGAUGGUUUAUGUUGUAGUGGAACGGUCUGGAAAGUCCGGCGAUACAGGGUGAUAGCCCCGUACACGAAGCAACAUUUAUCACAUAUUAAGUAGGUCGGGACACGUGUUAUCCUGACUGAAGAUGGGGGGACCAUCCUCCAAGGCUAAAUACUCCUAACUGACCGAUAGUGAACCAGUACCGUGAGGGAAAGGCGAAAAGAACCCCGGCGAGGGGAGUGAAAUAGAACCUGAAACCGUAUACGUACAAGCAGUGGAAGCCGACUUGUUCGGUGACUGCGUACCUUUUGUAUAAUGGGUCAGCGACUUAAUCUGGCGAGCGAGCUUAAGCCGUUAGGCGUAGGCGCAGCGAAAGCGAGUCUUAACUGGGCGCUUGAGUUCGUCGGAUUAGACCCGAAGCCGGGUGAUCUAGCCAUGGGCAGGCUGAAGGUGGGGUAACACCCACUGGAGGGCCGAACCCGAGAACGUUGAAAAGUUCCGGGAUGACCUGUGGCUAGGGGUGAAAGGCCAAUCAAACUCGGCAAUAGCUGGUUCUCCGCGAAAGCUAUUUAGGUAGCGCGUCGUGUCUCGCCUUCGGGGGUAGAGCACUGGAUGGGCUAGGGGGCCGCGAGGCUUACCAAACCUAACCAAACUCCGAAUACCGAAGAGCGCAAUCACGGCAGACAGACCAUGGGUGCUAAGGUCCGUGGUCGAGAGGGAAACAGCCCAGACCGCCAGCUAAGGUCCCCAAGUUACGGCUAAGUGGGAAAGGAUGUGGGAAGGCCAAGACAACCAGGACGUUGGCUUAGAAGCAGCCAUCGUUUAAAGAAAGCGUAAUAGCUCACUGGUCGAGUCGGCCCGCGCGGAAGAUGUAACGGGGCUAAGCAAUAUACCGAAGCUGCGGCAGCACGUAAGUGCUGGGUAGGGGAGCGUUGUGUAAGUGGUUGAAGGUGGUUCGGGAGGCA